rnacentral:pre_miRNA from 1 species
UCUUGUGAAUGAGGAAUGAAAGUGGUUUCUUGAGACAGAAUCUAUUUCCGGUGAAGAUGCUGUGAA